GGGAGCUUGGCUCAGUUGGAAGAGCGCAGGUCUCAUACUUUCUAGUAUGACUCGGUGUCCCAACACCUGAGAUAUCCUGAGGUCGUGAGUUCGAGCCUCACAGUUCCCA